rnacentral:lncRNA from 1 species
CCAUUAGAUCGUUCUCAUAUUUUGACACAAGAUUAAGACGGAUGUUAGCUUUCACAUGCAAGUGAUAGUCCGGAAAUCUAACGGUGCAUUCAAGAGGUAUACCUAAUUUUGUGAAGACAAGUCAUUCUGGCGAGCAAUUGAAGUAGUUGUAGAUAUUGAAAGCAGAGAAGGUCAGACCGAUCGUUCCACUUGGAGACCGAUCGGUCCACUUUCAUCUGGACGAGAAAAACGUGGCAGAACAAUCGGUCCAUCACCUGGAUCGAUCGGUCCACUUCCCAUACGCAUUUUUUACACAGAUUUGACCCAAAACAUUACAGAGCUUAACCGACUUGUCUCCUAUUGUCUUUAUAUCCUAAGCUCGACUUUUCAGAGACUAUCUACAUAUCUUUCAUACAGUUCUAAACAUUGUUUUUUGCUUUCUAAACAAUUUGGGGGAGAAGAAUCCGUCCUUUUGACAGUUGGAGAAGAAAUCUAAACCCUAUUCUCAUUUUAAUCUAUUGAAUCAUGUUUUAUUUCAUGUCUAUUCUUUUUGUUUCAAUUGAUAUGUUGAGUAGUUCUUAAUUGGGUUUUAGGGUGCUUAGU